rnacentral:lncRNA from 1 species
CUACUGAUUUCACUAUCACACAAAACAAGCAAUUUACACAUAUAUAUACAUACAUAACUGAGAUAUGAGUAAUCCAAGAGGUACCUAAAUCAGAACAAUACGAAAUAAGGUGCACUGCUGAUCAGGAAAUAGAGUCAAUCAGCCAAAGAAAUAAGAGACGGUGCCUGACUUCAAGAACAGGUGCAGGGGGAUCAGAAAAACAAGAACAUCGGCGCUUCGUCGGGAGGCGCGGCGGCUGAUGAUUCCGGUGAACACGGCGGCGAGAAAACGGGGCCGUGGAGACGAGUUCAGCGGUGAGGAAUGAAAGCAGAAGGGUGGGUGAAGAGAUUCUGGCAGAAGCUUGAAGGAUGGUGCAGGGGACGGGAGGAGAUUGUGAGUAUUAAGAGAGAGAUGUUCAAAUAAAGAAAUGGAGAGGUGAGUAAAGUGGCU